UUAACUUGUAAUUUUUGACAAAUUUAAAGGACCAACUUAGAAUUAAGGGAUGAAGUACAAAUCUUUAAGCAUAUAAAAAUCCCAGGUCAUCACCACUUAGUCAAUGACUGCAUAGUCAAGCAAUUGAACAAACCUCCACUAGGUUUUACUCUCUAUCUGGUUGUUCAUACCAUCAAGAAAGAAUCAAUAAGCCUGUUCAAAUCUCUGACCUGUUGACCCAAUAAUAACUUGGAAAAGGGCCUUAACAUAGUUGUAAAAAUGUACAAGCAAAAGAGGAAGCACCAUCAACUCCAGAAAAGAGAAGUUCUAUCUGGCAAAAAACUAAAUUUACAUGGUUGAGAUAGAUAAUAAUCAGUUAUUUCUGGCAGAUAUUCUAUGCAAAUACAAUAAUAAAUGUUCGUAUAUAUCAACGUUUAAAGAGUAGCAUGAAUGGUAUCGAACCUACAACUUAUCGACUUUGGAUUCUGAAUGCUGGUUUCACUCUUCUUAACACAACAUCAUUGUCUUAAAAAUAGAAGUGAUGCCACAGCUGAGAUUGUCAGCGUCAAAAAACAAGAACUGGGCAAAGCUUGAUCUUGCACAGCCUUCAUAGACAAAUGCAAUGAAUCGGCAGAUGAAGAUUUAAGUCCAUGAAACCCAAUAUCAUAUGAAAUGCUCCCAUCAGCCUUGAACAGUCCAUAAUUCCUCUCAGAAGUCGCCCCAGGUUUCAAAUCCUCAUUAAAUACUGCAAAAAUAUAUGCCUUUACCACAAUUUUUGGCCUGAGAGGAGUACCUUUCUUUUUUGCAAGCCUUUUACGCAGGUUAUAAUUAUAUGUUCUUGCAUUAUCAGCUGUUGCAGCAGCUUCAUUAUCAUCUCCAUGUGAAGCCCAGCCUGUUUCAGUAACUAUGACUUCCAUCUUCUUAUAUCCGGCAUCUUCUAAUGCAGCAUACACUGCAUCAAUCUGAGCAUCAAGCAUGUUAUCAUAGUGCAGAUCAGUUUUUGGAUCAUAAAUACCCUGAGUUUUCUGAAAAAGAGCAUAAUUAAUAUCAAUAUUCUCCGGAUCACUCAUAUAGGCCAGGAAUGGAUAAGCAUUCAAGCAGAAUGGGGAGCCAAUCUGAGAGAAGAACUCCAAAAGUGGCUUCAUGAAUUGAGAAACAUUGUCUUUAAAUACACACGAAGAGGGAGGAUAGGAAUUCGCAAAAACAGCUUGCGAAUGUGCAGUAGUAAUCUGAACUACAUCAGCUAAAUGAAGCUUUUUUAAGGCAUUGUAAACAUUUUUAGUCGCACCCAAAAGAGCUCCCCAGAGUUCAUAAUCAUUUCCUCCUAGAACUUCAUUCCCUACAGCAAUACCUUGAAUACUUGUUUUGGGGAGAAAUGCCUGCACAUUUUCUUUAACCCAAGCCAUGGCAUGGCUUGCAUUAGCGCUCAUUUCUUUCACAUAGUCAUUUGGAAGCCCGACCACAAGUUCAAGCCCACUCCCACUAAAUGCUUUGAGAACACUAUGAUCAGCAUCAUAAAUCCGAACAUUCCUUAUCUUUGCUGCCCUAAGAAGUGUAACAACUUCAUCAGGUGAAGGGAUGUUAUCAGCAAUUCUUCCAUAAUUUAUUCCAUAUGUUCCAGUGAAUGCUUGAACUGUUAUAGGUUCAAUUGGAGCAAAGAAGAGCAAGAAGAUAAACAAGAACCGAUGCAUACUUUUCAUUGCCUUGGUAAAGAAAGAAUCAUCAAAUCUUUUAGGGAAAGAUCUAGAUGUGAAUAAAAACUUCCUAAACAGCAACUGUAAUGAUGCUGCUUCUUCUUCUUCUUCAACUGCUGGCAUGCCAGAACACAUUGAAAAAGAACCUAAAAAAUAUCCACUUUUCAUUUCCUACAUUCAUAAGUUCCAACUCUACUUCUACCCAUCAAUUGCUCUAUCUAUAUUUCGGUCUGUAUAAGAAUCUUAAGUUUGGACACAAAUCUGUGUCAAAAAAUUCAGGGUAUAUGCAGAAGAGCGGACAGGAGAGCAGAGGAAGCUCUUUUUGGCGGACGUAUUCUGUGGGACUUUGAGAGUGCGGUCUGCGUUAGGAGGAGUGGAGAGGGGGUUUUGGGAAUUUUGGUUUCUUGAGGUUUUA
rnacentral:misc_RNA from 1 species